GAUGAACGCUAGCUACAGGCUUAACACAUGCAAGUCGAGGGACCGGCGCACGGGGGAGUAACACGUAUCCCACCCGCCCUUAACUCGGUGAUAGCUUUUCGAAAGAACGAUUAAUACACGACAUAAUGGAUGGGGAUGCGUUGCAUUAGUUUGUUGGUGAGGUAACGGCGAGCCAAGCCUUCGAUGGUUAGGGGUUAUGAGAGGAAGGUACCCCAGAUUGGAACUGAGGCACGGUCCAAACUCGUACGGGAGGCAGCAGUGAGGAAUAUUGGUCAAUGGGCGCUAGCCUGAACCAGCCAAGUAGCGUGAAGGAUGAAUGGUUAUGAGUCGUAAACUUCUUUUAUAUAAGAGUAUGUAUCAUAUGAAUAAGGAUCGGCUAACUCCGUGCCAGCAGCCGCGGUAAUUC
rnacentral:rRNA from 1 species